GACGAACCGUGCGAACGUUAUUCGGAAUCACUGGGCUUAAAGCGCGUGUAGGCGGGCCGCCACGUCGGCUGCUGAAAUCCCCCGGCUCAACCGGGGAACGGGCACCGAUACGAGCGGCCUCGAGGGGGGUAGGGGGGUCUGGAACUUCCGGUGGAGCGGUGAAAUGCGUUGAGAUCGGAAGGAACGCCCGUGGCGAAAGCGAGGUCCUGGACGUUUUCUGACGCUGAGACGCGAAAGCCAGGGGAGCGAACGGG
rnacentral:rRNA from 1 species